CUCGCGGCCCUUGUUAAAAAUGACUGGUAGUGAUGCAUGGAGCAGUGGAGUGCUGCGUUUGAGGUGGCUGCAGUGCUUUAGCUGGUGCCUGCAGGCAAUCCUCGGUUGCCCAGGAAACACAGAUGGUGGAUAAAGGGCUUGCAUACAAAAGACCGUAAACCUGUAGCAGCAGCUGGAGACCGAGAGCGAGCAUUCUCCCAGGACUGCAGCGUCCCCACUCGUUCAAAGGAGCCUCUGUUCUCACUAAUACCUUCGCUUCGUCAUCUUUGCUCAAAGCUUCCCGCUCCGCUUUGUCCGGUUUCCCCCCGAACCGGACCGUCGUCUCCCCGUCAGUGCGCAGCAGCUGCUGGCUGGCACUCCCACCUCUGCUGGUUUCAGCUCGGCGGCCAUGAAGGGGACGCCGAGCCGCGGCUCACGGUGCACGGCAGGGGAAGCGGUGCUGGGAGAGACGUCCUUUAUGCGGCGCAGGCAGAGAAGCCGCGGUCACGCAGCGGGUAGGCGCAAGUGGAACAGCUUUGCUCCCAGGAUGGAGGGGCAAGCGGACAAAAAAGGAAGAAGCCAUGAUCUCUUCGCACCCUAUUUUCUGCGGGACAGGUGGAACCUGAAGAUCCCUGGCGACCAGUGUUGGAUGGGCAGGAAUCAUCCCUGGAGCUGCUGACAUGACUCCAAACAGGGCCGUGGCAGGAUCCAACAGGGCAGGUUAUGUGUUAUCUUUGUUAAAACUGAAGGAGGUGGAUCUUCAUAGAUCAAUUUCUUGUCAUUUAGCUAUCAGUGUAAUCUUUUUUUCUCAGGUAUAAUGGGAAAUAAUAAAAUGCAGGGUCCAUAGGACCCUGAUCCCUUCUGGGAUCUUGAUAGGACAGUUGGGUUGCAUCCCCCGUUUCUGCUGCUUUGUGUUGUGUGCCCCUUCUCCAGUUACACUGAUGAAGAAGCGGAUUUGGCCUCAACAAGACCCCCUUGUACCCCAGCUGGCAUUGCUCCAUCCUCUUUGCUGCGCGGCCUUACAGAACGGUACUGAAUCCUCCAGCUUCAUGUGGCUGAGACAUCGGAAAGUUUCCCAGUUUCUGACCCUCCUCCAAGAGACGGCUCCUGCUGCUGCUCAUCAGCGAAAAGAAAGAAUCCAUACAGCUGUGUCUUUCUCAUCAUGAUCAGUUUAAUCAUAGCCGGCUGGAAGGCACAUCAGUCGGAAUCAUUUGCUGCUCUGUUAACGCUUUGUUUUAUAGCUUUGUUCAAUUCCUCUACUGUCUCUGUUUCUGCUGAUCAGACAGUCUGAAACCUUUUGCUGUUAAUCAGCUGCAGAUGAUCUGUAUCGUGUUACCUUAUCUUCUUGCAGUGUACUACUUCUCUCAAGUUUUCACUUAUUUUAAUAAUGUCACCUAGUGCGUCUUUUUGUCAAGGCUGGCUUGCGGUGUUGCCAGAUCUAAAAACCUAUAAAGAUCUCAUAUUUAAGGCCUGUACGAACAAAAAUAAUAUGUGCUAGCGUGUGAAAAUGACUGAUUUUCCCACCUUCAAAUAAUGUGUAAAUCACACAUUUCUGUUUGUUGAGAAACCUCCCGGGUUCAGUGCGAAACCAGCUAUUUUUACUGUACUAUUCUGCAGUUUAUCGGUAGUGUGUGGGAUGUGUGUGUGUGUGUGUGUGUGUGUGUGUGUGUGUGUGGGUGAGUGCAUGUGUUUCUCUGCAUGUGCGCUCCAUUUGUGCUUGUGGCAGUCCGUGUGCACGUGUGUCUCAAUAGUCCGAUAAGAUGUGUCUGUAAUGGGUCUGAAACUGCCGCUACGAUCCGUUUAGGCCCCUUGAUGUACCAGAUAAGGGAUAAAACAUUAUUUACUGAUGAUUCUUAGCAUUUGUUACAGCCUCAUUAAGGCAGCAGCAGUCCUCCUUGUGAUUUAGAUCACAGGGAUGUUCAUUGGAAAUUAGUGGGAGGCAGUUUUCUGAAUGAUGCCUGCUGGCAUAAGUCGGACCGUUUUCCGUGCCAGCAGGCCCAUCAUUUAACACUUAAGCAAAUUACAGCAAAUGCUAAUAAUGAUGUGUAAAUAGCCUUUUACCCAUGCCUGGAUUGCACUAACAGUAUCUGACUAAUAUCUAACAGUACUAAUGUCUGCUAACAGUUGAAGGAUUACUAACCCGUGUGGAGAAUGCAGACGGCUUGCGUUUCUAACCCACUAACUUCCCUUUCUGCUUUACGCCUACGAUCUAAGAGGCACACUCCUCUUGCAUGAUCCUGCGAUCCUUCUUUUGGAGGUGUCUGAUUCAGGAAAUCUCAACGCGAGCAUGGAAAGAAGGGUUUCAGGACCGGGGGGGAAAGGAAACGUUGAAAACAAGAAGAGAGGAAGAGAAGCAGCAGCAGCUGCUGAGGUCGGACUCAGUUGACCACACACUGUCGGGAAAAAUAAGAAAAAAAAAUGUAAUCUGAUUCCAAAACAUUUAAUUUUUCAGGCUAAAUUUGCAUCUUUUAGAGAGUAGUUUUCUCUCUCUGAUUUUGCUGUGUGGUCAACCCUGCCUUUUUGUCCCUGCAGGUAGUAACUAACCCCUACAUGGUGCUCUUACUAACAGUGUGGAGGCUGUAUCGGCCCAUCUGCCACUCUUACUAACAUCUUCCUGUCGUCUGAUUGAUUUCACAUUAAUUAAAGCAUGCAUUGUGGUACCAGUGAUGCUUAUUACAUGACACUCCAUGGGCUUCCCUCUCCCAAAGCAAAGCAUCAACUUUCCCAAGUUUGUUUUUAGCUCUUAGUUGAGGUUUUAUCUCUUAAAAAAAACAAGCGAGCUUUUAAUAGCUCUGCAAACUAACAAACUAACCUACUAAUAAACUAAUUCUCUAACAUGGACUAACUGAAAUCCCUAACUUUAUGCUUUCACGAGACAGUCAGCAAAGCCCCUUUAAACCGAGGAGGCGCGUCGCUGAUCGAAUGUAUUCGAGUGUUUGAAUGGACGUCUGAGAUGGAAGAGUGUGUCUCAAAAUCAUCAAUAAGUUGAUAUAACCCACAACUAUUCUAUUUUUGUAACUAUAUUUUUUAAAGAUACUCAUUUGCAUCAAAGUCGAAGUACAUAAACGGAGCUAUUUUCAUUUUCCCAAGCUGGCACACAACUUCUUACAGCAGACGCUCAGCCGCUCCCCAUCAACGUCAUAAUAUUAAGCAUACGUGGCUCCGUAACGUUGAAUGUUUAAAGAUGGGGAACUUCCUGCUGGCCCCAUUAAGACUUUGCCAUCCCUGUCAGCUACACACAGCACUGACAGAGUUGAGGAAGGCCCUGGAAUAAAGAGUGAACCCCAUCAGCUACUCUUCUACGCAUAAGUAAAGGAUUCAGAAGCUGUUUGAGAAAACCAAGUGCUAUGCAUCAACAAAACAGUUUUAAAUCAGGAAUUAAAUAUUCUUUUGUCUUGGAAGUAGUUUUAUUUAUUCCUUUUUUUUGUACACCCAGAAUGAAGAGGGUCUAAAGUAGACUAGAAAUGAGUCCAAACCAGUAACAAACUUACCCAGCUGAUCACCACUGAAAACAUUGUUGUUUUCAUUACCUUUUCAACUGAAUCCAAGGUGUAUACUUACAUCAAGGAUGUUGCAACUUAUAGCAACUUUUAUCCCUUAUACUGUUUUGCUAUACAGGAAAGCAACAUAUUAAUUGUUUUGGUUUUAUGCCAAUGAAGAAGAGAAACAUUUUGUUAUCGUGUUGAUAUUUUUCUAAUCUUUAUAAGGAAAUGUUGAAAAUGUUUUUUCCAAUAACAUUAAAAAUAUCCUGUACUUUUCUUAGUAUCAGUUACAAAUGUGAUAUUUUAGUAUCUGUGACCUUCACAUGUUCCUGUGGAUACUUUCAAAGGGACACAUGCAAUUUUAAAAUGAUUAAAACUCUUAAAUUAUGGCGUUGACGCUGCAAAGGGAGACAGGAUUGUUUCAAAUCAGCAGAUCUUCCUUUGCUGAAAGAAACCUUAGAAGAGAGGGCAGGGACCAAAAGAAUGAGUACUGUGGAAAUCUAUCUAUCUAUCUAUCUAUCUAUCUAUCUAUCUAUCUAUCUAUCUAUCUAUCUAUCUAUCUAUCUAUCUAUCUAUCUAUCUAUCUAUCUAUCUAGACAGUGUUUAAGGUGUCAUGUUCCUUUACCUCAGCUAAAAUAGAUAUUUGAUGAGAAAAAUGUUUAACAUUAAAUGGCUCUUUCGGCAAUUUUUUUUUUUUUUUAUUAUCAUCAGAUUCCAUCUGUUAUUCUUUGAAUCAGUGUUGUUAAAUUGUCCCAGGUGCCUCCAGAAUAUGAUGAAAAUAAAGUAAUUUCUCAGUAGUUCUCAGACCUGACAGAAGAAUCAUGAAUGUAAGAAAUGUAUGCGCAACUUUUUGUUUACAUCAUCGCUUCCUUGUUGGUUGUCUUAACUCUAUGCCUCUGUUAAGAGCUGCAUUGUGCGCAAAUAAAGCAUGUUUUCUUGUUUA